rnacentral:lncRNA from 1 species
CUGGGAGGGGCCAUUUCCUGCCUCUACCUUUAUAUAGAAGAACUCUACCCAACUGAAAUCAGACAGAUGGGCCUGAGUGCUGGUCUAUUUAGUAUACGCUUUGGCGCAUUUCUAUCUCCCAUGGUCUUCAUUGGGGGCAGCUACUUCCCUAUUCUGCAGCCCUUGUUGUUUGGGAUGGUCCCCAUCGUUUCCGCAGCUUCUGCCUGCUUCUUGACUGAGACUCGUGGCCUCCCACUUCUGGACACCAUCCAGGAGGCAGAGAACAGGAUGAAGAGGUCUUGCUCUUUGAAAAGAAAUUCCAGAAAAGAGGAAUGGGAAAGACCAGCUUUGCUUCAUCCUGAAAUGGUACAAUCUGAAAGCACAGUAUAAUGCUUUCUUUAAGACUUUGGUUCAACUCCCGAAGGACUUAUUGGAAAGAAUGCUAACCAUAUCGAGAGAAGGAACUAUGGGAGUAGAAAUGCAAAAGAAGAACGUAUGACAUUACUUAUCGCAUGUAUAUAUGGGGAUGUGAUUUGGGGUUUAGGCUUUAAAAGAUGGCUCUAUAGCAAAAAGGAAUAAUAUGGAAAUCGGUAUCAAGUAAUAACAAUUGUACAACCCAGCAGAUUUGCUCAUUGGCUCUGGGAGUGGGUAGGGAAGAGGGGAGGGAAAGAAAAUGAAUCAUGGAAACAUGGAAAAAUAUUUAAAAAUAAAAAAUAAAAAAGAAUACUUUGGUUCA